ACUUGGUGCGGAAGUCAUCAGCAGCAAGGCGGGCAUUGUCAAUCUGCAGGACGACAUUGGCAUUGUCCACGGUGGCCGUGAGGAUCUGCAGGUAGAGAGGGCAGAGGUCGGAAGAGAACAGGUCUGAACA